CCUACGGGUGGCAGCAGUGAGGAAUAUUGGUCAAUGGGCGUAAGCCUGAACCAGCCAAGUCGCGUGAGGGAUGAAGGUUCUAUGGAUCGUAAACCUCUUUUAUAAGGGAAUAAAGUGUGGGACGUGUCCUGUUUUGUAUGUACCUUAUGAAUAAGGAUCGGCUAACUCCGUGCCAGCAGCCGCGGUAAUCCGGAGGAUCCGAGCGUUAUCCGGAUUUAUUGGGUUUAAAGGGUGCGUAGGCGGCAUUGUAAGUCUGCGGUGAAAGUCUGUGGCUCAACCAUAGAAUUGCCGUUGAAACUGGGAGGCUUGAGUGUGUUAGAGGCAGGCGGAAUGCGUGGUGUAGCGGUGAAAUGCUUAGAUAUCACGCAGAACACCGGUUGCGAAGGCGGCCUGCCAAGCCAUGACUGACGCUGAUGCACGAAAGCGUGGGGAUCAAACAGGAUUAGAUACCCUGGUAGUC
rnacentral:rRNA from 1 species